CUCACACUCUGUAAACAGGAAUAGGUUCAUCACUGGUCACUGAGCUGGCAAGCUAAUGUUAGGUAGUUAGUCAUAGAAAUGUACGUUCAGCCUGUGAAUUAUUUCAGUCCGAUUUGACUUAUAUUAAGAAGUCAGCAUGGUUUAACAGUUUCUUUCGUUUUUGACCUCGACAUUGUUGCUGGAUAGAUACUUUCAUAUCUAACAUGCUGGUGAUGCCUCACUCUAGUUCCCGAUAGAGUAGCAUACUGGCCCUCCAUUCCCAAACUUGAAGCCCCCUGUCGCCAACUGGAAAGACCAGGAAAAAGUGGUGGCUUAAGGUACAACUUCCUAUUGAGGAAAUAUCUGCCAACCUGCUCGGUGGGUGACAGGCAACCGUCUUUCCACCAAGCUGUUCCAGGCCUGGAGUGGCACGUUGGAACUUCCAGAGGCUUGUAGACCUGAAGCGGUGUGAUGUGGUCCAGAUCUGACACCCCUAUAUUAGCUCAACCACAGUCUUCACAGCUGCAGUCGUUUGCAUCUGAUACACCGGCCACGACAGGUGACACAGAUCUGCCAUGCCCAGCAGUUCAGCUGCAGUCACAGCAGUCCACUACUGUAGUAUUUCAAUUUACCGGCUGCACCAGUUUCUACUCCACUGGCUGUGAAGGGAGAAACUUUUGAGGAUUCCCAGAUGGAUACAGAUCUGCCAUGCACUCCACCACUGCCUGACAACCUCACCCAGAAGUGCAUACACUGGGCCUUUCAAGACUGACAAAGCAGAGAUGGGUGGCUGACAAGGAAAAAUAAAACAACGCGCACACACACACACACACACACACUCACGCACACACUUUAUCCACAAUGUAAAUAAGAUGUAAUUGCUUGCUUAUUUAAUGUUUGCUCCAUUUUAUGGAAAAUGAACCACAGGAAAAGCUCCUCCAUUUGCUAUUUAGGUGCAUAGUUGACUUUCUUUUUACCAUGCCCCUGUUCCGAGACAGGUGCAUAAUAAUGGUCCAUUCUAAAUCAAAACUACUUUCAGACAUAUUUUAUUUAGUAUAUGUAAAGACAACAUUGAAUUAAGAAUAGUCUGAUGGGUGACAAUAUUAGCCUAUCACUUGUGAAUGAUGUAUUAUCACUUGUGAGUGAUGCCCAGCAUGUGCAGUAUGUCAAGAAACAGUGCAUGCCUUUUUUGGGGGGACAAAUCAUAGUUGCACACCUCAUAUAGCCUAGCCCAUAGCCCAAAAUGUUUUGAUAAGGUAUGUAUCACAACUAAAGUGGCCAGAUAACUUCUUAAAAUUAAGCACAUUAAUUCGCUUUAAAACCGGUGUAGAGCCUAACUGGCAUACAUAGGCGGUACUUUUAUAAUAGAGCAUUACAGUACAUGCAUAAUCUCAUUUCCCUGCUAAUUGAUUGCAUUUUGGAACAUUCGUGCUUAUAACCUACUGCCGUGUGCACAUUGCUGCGCUUGUAAAUGUGAAGAAAUAGCCUAAUAGUUUAUUAACAUUUUACGCUAAACGUUGCCGAUCUGUUGCAUCAGCCUCAUUGCUUUGAAAAUAUUAUGUUGAUGCGAGUGGUUGUAUUAAUUUGGGAUCUAAUGCAUCCCACAACUGGAAUAUCGGAAUAUUUAUUUCUUGCACAGAAGAAGUUUACUAAUAGGUCAACCUUUGUACUAUGAGGGAUAGUAGAUUGACAUAGGCUAGUGCUUGUUCUGUUCGUUAGGCCUACUCAUCUUAUUGAGAUUUGCCUAAAUGUGGACAGUUCUUCUAAACAUAUUCAGUAUGCAUCUCGGAAUUUGAUGUGUCUGUCUUCACUUGUAGCCUACUUCUUAGCUGUGAGAAGGACCCGAUCACCUGACAGGCAUUGGCUAAUAAGAAUUGUGUCAGGCCCUGACCUUAGAGAUCCUUUUUAUGUCUAUUUUGGUUUGGUCAUGGCGUGAGUUGGCGUGGGCAUUCUAUGUUUUGUGUUCUAUGUUUUUUAUUUCUGUG